rnacentral:misc_RNA from 1 species
GUUUCGUUACUGCGAUGAAAAAGCUGGGCGAAACAUAUAAUGAAAUUGAGAUUAAAUUUUAGGUACUAGUAUCGAUUUUUUUGUAUUGUUUUGGGUUUUUUGUUUGUUUGUUUGUUUGUUUUGGGAUUAUUUUUUUUUUGGUAAUAUAUGUUUAUACAUUUAAAAGUUGAGAAUGUGUAAUUCUUUCUAGUUGCUUGCUACUCGAGGUAGUGUUUAAGGACACUCCUUAUAUUGCUUGGUUGCUGUCAUGAGGUCUUUAUUUUAAAAACCUUUUCCUUUUGAAAGUAUUAGAGAACGGCAAACUUUUCGCUGACUUAAUUACACGAUACUCAGGUUUUCACGAACAUUGCAAAAAUUAGUAAUGCAUGAAUAAUUGAGAGAUCGUGAUACAUGUAUUUUAUUCAGAAUCAAGUGUUGAAUAAAAUGUAAAAAAUAGCAGUUAAAUAUAAUGGAUGUAUUGUCAUACUUCUCAUAAGAUUAUUUUUUGUUCGGAUUCUCCCAACAUUGUCUACAUCCGCGUUGAAUAAUUAUAUAAAGAUGGAGAUACUUGGGGACACACUUUGAAAUAUCUUUGAUGGAUAAAAACAUAAAAAUAUUAAACUAUAUAAACAUUUGUAUAUGUUGAAUGAUACCAUUUUUAUUUUUCCUUGUAGGCCUCUUUUAGAAUGGACGGAAUCUCCCAAACCGGAAGGAAGCAGCACCGACGCCUUUAUUCUGAACAUCCCAAACAGUUCGAGAUUCUAGAGUACGCCUCCUCUCCCUCUGUGGAGAGGAAGCUGAGGACGUUCUAGUGAUGGGGUGUGUAGUGAAGUGUGCGUGUGUGUGUGCCAGUAUUAUAGUAUCAUUGAACAAUGAACACGAACUGAUUCUUAGAGGGAAUAUUGGGAUAUGUAACUUAUUAUAAGACGAUUGAAAUUGUUACAGUGUUACUCAUGUUGCAAUAUUAAAUUGUUUGAAAAAUCUC